CUUUCCGGGCAGCACCUGCAGAAGGUCCCCAGCAUUGAGUUAUUGCUCUGGGUUCAUCCCUUCCCUUCUCUUCCAUUGUGUGAAGUCCAUUAUCAGAUUCGGGGAAGCCAACCCGCGAGAACCGAGGCUGGUUCCCAGAGCUCAUUCCUUCCUAUGCCAGGCGGCCUGUUCUCACAGAGGAAAGUGAAAGGAGGUGGCCCCCUGGGGUAGUGGGGGCUGCGCAGUGCUUCUCAGCCUGGGGGAACCCCUUCCCCUGAGGACCUCUGGCCUCGUCUGGAGACAUCCUUGGUUGUCACGACUGCUAGGGGGUGGGGAGGAGCGGAGGUACAGGCAUCUGCUGAGCAGGGGCCAGGGAUGCUGCUAAACUUCGUGCGGUGCACAGGACGGCCCCACUGUGGAGACGAUCCAGCCGAGCAGUAGCACCAAGGCCGAGACCCGCGGUGGCUCGUCUGGCCACGCGGUGUGCUCCGUGGCAGCUGUCAGACCCCGUGAGGGUGCUUUUAUUACUGUCACCUGGAGAGAGCACAUUGGACAGGCAGCGGGCGCCCCCGUCCUGGCCUCCGGUGGCUGUGCAGCUGAGGUGGGACCUUGCAGGUGGGCUGGGAGUUAGAAUGGCAUCGUCCACACUCUGCCAGGAGGACCAGCUCAGACGCCGGAGGUAACGGAAAUCUUUGCAAAAGUCCAAAGUGCUUUACAAGCACCAAGUAGGUUUUUUUUUUUCUGGGUGGUUUUCAUCAACUCCUGCCCAAGGCCAUGCAAAAGGGUGGCAUCGAAGGGACCUCCGGCCUGGAACCCAACCCUUCCCCAUCAAAGCAGUUCCCAGCAGAGACAACACCAUUUGCAUGAACCACUUCUGACUGAGGCCGCACGUGUGGCUUGCAAGCUGUAGGCGUCCGGCCGCGAUUCAUGAGUGGCUUUGAUCACUGGGACCCCGAAGUGCUUCCCGCUUGGCUGCGGCACUGCCCCGCCAUCAUUUCCCCGCGGCAGGUCCACCGUCUGUACGUCAAUCACGACCCCCCUCUGCUCACUUUGAAAAGUUUCCUUUAUCUCGCUAGAAGCCUCUGGUUUCCUGGGAGCGGUCCACCUCUGAGAUGCUGUGCUGUUUUCGAGAUUGUUUGUCGUGUGUGUGUCCCUGGGAAGCUCGGUUCCAGGACGAGGAGCUCAUCUGGGACCCCCCAGCUCAUGCCUUAGGGCGUGAAGGCCAUGCUUUAGGCCGCGUGCAGCAGAGCGCGUCCAGACGGUGAUGGGAGACAGGCUGGCCCUGCGCGGACGUCGGCCAGACGGUGAGUCAGGACGAGCCUGAAUGCUGCUGCCGCAGCUUCUCCACGGGUUUUGUGGCCCAGCA
rnacentral:lncRNA from 1 species